AGUCCUCUGAUCCUGCAGUGGGUAUUCCUCCUCAGUAUAGAAGGCAGAGAUGUGCUUUCCUCAAAGCCCAAACAAAAAGACAAUUCCUCAAUGUUUUACUGGGAAGUGACUGAUGAAACGCAGCAAGAAAAUGAGGGAGCAAGAGAGAUGCAAAUGUUGGCCUUGUUUUCUUUGGUGAUAUGUAAAUUGUUUAGGCUGUCCCAACCUUUUGUUUUUGCAUAAAUCAUAGCUUUGCCUGAUUGGAGAUGCAGUAACAUUGUAGGUUCAUCUGCUCAUAACAAGGUUUAAGACCAGAAAUGUGCUUCAAAGCAGAAUAAAUUAUAUUAUACAAAUGCUCUAA